ACUCGGCUGGCUCAGUCGGUGGAGCGUGCAACUCUUGAUCUCAGGGUUGUGGGUUCAAGCCCCACACUGGGUG
rnacentral:tRNA from 1 species